rnacentral:rRNA from 1 species
AGGACGAACGCUGGCGGCGUGCUUAACACAUGCAAGUGGAGCGACGAACCAGGGCUUGCCCUGGGGCAGAGCCGCGAACGGGUGAGUAACACGUGGGUUACCUGCCUCGAUGACCGGGACAACCCGAGGAAACUCGGGCUAAUACCGGAUGUGCCCGCAAGGGGAAAGGAAGCUUCGGCCUCCGCAUCGAGAUGGGCCCGCGGCCCAUUAGCUUGUUGGUGAGGUAACGGCUCACCAAGGCUUCGAUGGGUAGCUGGUCUGAGAGGACGAUCAGCCACACUGGGACUGAGACACGGCCCAGACUCCUACGGGAGGCAGCAGUGGGGAAUCUUGCGCAAUGCGCGAAAGCGUGACGCAGCAACGCCGCGUGGGGGAAGAAGGCUUUCGGGUUGUAAACCCCUUUCAGUUGGGACGAAGCUUCGUCGGUGAAUAGCCGGCGGAGUGACGGUACCUUCACAAGAAGCACCGGCUAACGUACGUGCCAGCAGCCGCGGU